UACGUAGGGCGCAAGCGUUGUCCGGAAUUAUUGGGCGUAAAGAGCUCGUAGGCGGUUUGUCGCGUCUGCUGUGAAAACCUAAGGCUCAACCUUGGGCUUGCAGUGGGUACGGGCAGACUAGAGUGCGGUAGGGGUGACUGGAAUUCCUGGUGUAGCGGUGAAAUGCGCAGAUAUCAGGAGGAACACCGAUGGCGAAGGCAGGUCUCUGGGCCACUACUGACGCUGAGAAGCGAAAGCAUGGGGAGCGA
rnacentral:rRNA from 1 species